AACUGCUUUAAAAUUCUCUACUCUUAAAUUCCAGUGUUUCGUGAUGUAAUUUUUGAUGUAUUUAAGGAUUGAGUUUCCCUCUGGUUUACAUUGCUGGAAUCAAUCAGAGUCUGCAGGCAGUUCUGUAAUGUUGGAUACUGCUGGUAAAUAGUUGGUUUAUUGCACUCUCAAGCCAUUUCCUGAGGGUUUUAGAAGAAAAUAACAAUUCACAGCAACAUUCAUUCAUGUUUAAAUAUACCAGGUACCAGAACUAAUGGUUAAACAUUCCUAUAUUAAAGCUGUUUGCAAAUGCAUGUGAUAAAACCCCAUUUUUGCAUUGAUAGGGACAAGAAAAUUGCUGGACAAGUGCUGUUUUUCAUUCCUUUCCCAUUUCUGAAGUACCCUUCCUUACUGAGUGAAGUUGCCAAAGAAGGAAAAAUAAAGUCCUUCCCUCUUCUCAAACGCCUAAAGAGGCAGUUGUCCAAUUCUAAAAACAACCAGUGCAUCCAAAAUACAUCUUGGUGAACACCAGGCCCUCUCUUGGUGGGAAUUCUGCCAUGAAUUUCAGGGAGAUCAGCACUUUGAUGUGAUGGCCAACUCCUGAAGCUGAGAUGUUCCUGGGUGGUUGUGCCAGCUGCCUCUUAUUGUUUUUCCCAGAAUAACCAGUUCCAUGAGGUAUUUACCACUUACAAACAUGAAACAUGGCCUGGAGUGAGCACUCCACCUUACAGAGUGGCUCUAACUGAAAACACACAGCAAAUGCUUCCCUGAAACUUUUGCUGGGGGUUAUUUUUAGUUGUUCAUUUGAGAUUGAUGGUGACCCUCUUAGAAAAAGGCAAAUUUCAACAACCCAUGAGGGAACAACUGCGGUCUUUGAAGUAAUGAAUGUUUGGUGAUUCUUAUUUACCAUGAACUACUAACACUAGAGCUGGUAUGUGCAUAUGAUUAAUUAAUUUUAAACAAAUGAACUUUCUAGAAGCUAAUUCAGCCUUGGAAGAGAUGGGGUUUAUGCUGAAGUCCAAGUAGAGCUGACUGUGUGUCCUUUAGCAGAGCUUGUCCCUGGUCAUGAGGCCAAUGAACAGAAUAUCACAGGACCCUGGAGGCUGCAGCAGGAGAUUUCCCUUUGAAAACAAAGGCCUGAUCAGUUGGCUUUGGUCAAACCCAUUCAAGUGGAAAUUUGUGGGGAUGCUUCACGUGCUUUGUUACAUCAGAGCUUUAGCACUGACUUUGCUGUUUAGGUUUAUUCUUUCCCAAAAUUACUCUUCCCACAGCAGUUUGCUCUCUAAAUGAUGGGGAGUUCCUCCUGUCCUCUUCCAUCCCAUCUGAGGAGUGUGUCCCAAUGCAAUUCCAAAGAGGGUCUCCAGCACAUCUCAUUAUAAAGUCAGUGACAAAGGACCCACCCCUGAUGGAGGAUCAUGAGUUUGAUGAUGCCCACCUUGGCUGGACUCCUGUGUGGGCAGCACCAAGGAUGAGAUACUUCCUUCGUUUCUGAAACUGCCUUGCUCUUCCUGCUGGAUUCACAGAAGGAAUUAGUCCAGAGCAGGUGGCUUCCCAUAAAUUCACAUUUUAGUUCCUUACAUGUUGUGGGGGCACAUUCUGUGAGGGCAGUAACAGGUAGAGUAUUUCACGUGAAGUUUUAACUUAAAAAUGUGAUUCUAUCUCUGACGUGCCUGGUAUAUUGCACUUAUACUGGAAUAAUAUCCUUUGCAGGAUGCUGUGGUUGGAAUGGAUCACAAAGACAGCAAUGUAGAGGCUGAAGAACCAAGUGAAAGAGGGAUCCUGAGGCUGAAAUAUCCCACUGAGCAUGGAGUUAUCACCACUGGAAUGACAUGGACAAGGUUCUGUUUGAAACAUCCAGUGUGCCAGCUGUGUGUGGAACAGUGCAGGCAGUGCUGCCUCUGCCCUGGGAACACCGACUGGGGAGUCUUCCUAGGGGUUGGAUUUUCCACCUGUCCUUCUCUUGAAGCCUUGAGUCUUCAUAUGUUUUGAAAAGUUAAAAUGCCACCUGCCUUUGUAGCCUGAUGCCAUGAUAUAAUUUUGUAUACAAAGAUGGGCAGCUUACAGGAAUUAUGAUUGUCAUAAACACUUUAAAAUUCAAUUAUUUUGUAUCAGAAAUGCCUUAUUAAUUUUGAGUGGAAAACAUGCUUCAUUUCCUACCCAAGAAUAACAGGGCUUUACACAGGUAUUGUUAUAUUUUCCUAGUGGUGGGUUUUACUUUAAUGACAGAUUCACAUUUUUAUUUAAAAAUAGAGUGUGGGUUUUUUUUUUUUUUUUUUACAAUUUGGACAUGACUUCCUGUCUGUAAAGUGCUGGAGUUUGUCUUAAAAAUGGGCUUGGGAAAAUCUGUGUCCUGGCUGUCACACUGUGUGUUGAUUAAAAACUUCUUGGCUGCAGCAGGACAGGAGAUGGUGAGAGACAUCAAGGGAGAGCUUUGCUGUGUGGCAUUAGAUAUUGGAAAUAAAACAGCAAUUGCUGCUUCCUCCUCCUGUCUCGAAAAGCGCCAGGAACUUCCUGAUGGACAAGUUCUCACUAUCAGGAAAGAAAGUUUCAGAAGCUCCCAUCCAGGCAUCCUCUGUAGGUGGGACAGGAGUUUUCUUUCUUGGGCUUUGGCAGACAAUGGAAAGGGCAACUUUAGCAACCUUCAACUGUAGGAAAAGAGUUAUUUAUUCCCAAAUGUAGUCACUUCUUUAGAAGCUGUGGAUGCUGCUGCUGGACAAAAAGAUGCUUCAGCUGAGAAAUACCUGAAUCCCAAGAUAGCUCCAAUCUCUUAUAAAUGGAGUAGAGUGUGUAAAAUGACAAGAUCAUGCUUUUUAUCUUGAAUGGCUGAUACAGAACUGCACAUGCUUCUUAGGUGGGUUUUGUACCUAGCUUAUGCUUCAGCUUAUCAUUUUAGUCUAAUUAUCUGUGAUUUAAUAAUUCAUCAGCAGAUCAUCCAUUGUUUUCCACCAGUUUUAUCUGCAGUGUUACAGUUCCCAUUCUACCCAGUGGAUGAUCGACACUCCCUGUGAGUAACUCCUGUUGCCAUUCACCAAUUUCCCGCUUAAAUUCCCCUCUGGAGGCCUGAGCACAGUGGCUGCAGGUGCUUUGGCAUCAUUUCCACGGAGAUAA